rnacentral:rRNA from 1 species
UACGGGGGGGGCAAGCGUUGUUCGGAAUUACUGGGCGUAAAGGGCGCGUAGGUGGCCAACUAAGUCAGACGUGAAAUCCCUCGGCUUAACCGGGGAACUGCGUCUGAUACUGGAUGGCUUGAGUUUGGGAGAGGGACGCGGAAUUCCAGGUGUAGCGGUGAAAUGCGUAGAUAUCUGGAGGAACACCGGUGGCGAAGGCGGCGUCCUGGACCAAUAUUGACACUGAAACGCGAAAGCCAGGGGAGCAAACGGG